UAAAGUAAUUAGCCUCCAAUUAAAAUGAAUAAAUUUAUAUUAAAAAUAAUUAUUCUCCAGUACACACACAAAAAAGCAAAUUCUUGCCACCCUUUUGGGCUGAGGCUCAGAAUACAGUCUGCACAUUUAGUGACUAGCUCACAGUUUGGAUGGAUACAACUUUCUGCUUGUUAAAAGUAAAGUUAAAUAUGAUUUCUCUUUUAAAGUUAUCUUUUGAUUUUUCAAUUACAUAAGUAUUGAACAUACACAAGUACAUAUUGAAAGUAAAAAGCUAUCUGCUCCUCCUAUACUAACAUCAAAUAUUCCACCAACUAAUACUUUAUGAAUGGACUACCAAAGCAUAUGGCUAUGAAGCUAAUACAUGGUUAAAUGAAUGGUCAUUCUCAAGUUGAGUGAAUUAGAAGUCUGUCAAAGGUGAUAUAGCAAAAUUAUUCUGCUCUUGUAUGCUUAUGAAUAAAUGCACCUAUUCUCAGCUUAAAAGUGGGAACAGAAUAACAAAAUUCUCCCCUAUCCUCUCAUAUUUAUAUUCAGUACUAUUUUGCCUUCUCAUUUAUAUCAAUUCUAUAUAUAAAUCUUCCCUUAUCCAGGGAAAUGUCUUACUCAUAAAAUUCUUGUUUCUGUUUAGCAAGAAUAUUCACCGUUCUAACAGCAAGGUUUCCAAAAGGAUAAUUCAAACAAACACUGAGAAGUUUCCAGGAAUUUUUAAUUGAAUCAGAACUGAUAAAAAUUAAUUAGCUACAUCUGUCCUCAUGACAGUCCUGAUGUGGGAACAAUAAUCAAAUGAAAACUCUGCCAACAGAAAUUGGCAGUGAUAAAGACUUACUGUAUCCCUCUCUCCAGUGUAAAUCCCCACUUCAAAGACAUUACAGAAAAUGAUGUUGCAAUGAGAUGGAUGGUAAGUGACCUGAUGUGCUUGGAAACAGACCAAUGCGUCUAGGAACAUCAAGGUUUUUAAAAAGCAACAACGGGUAAAACUGGGAAUUAACAACACCUAAUGUCCCCUUGAUUGAACAAAGUCUUAAAGGCAUCAUGCUUCACAGAGUGAACAAUACAUUGUCAGCACAUUUAAAUAGUGAAGGAAGACUUGUGUUUAUGCACUUCUGUUAUACAGAUAACAGAAGAAGUGUAAGGGUGGAGAAUCAUAAGGAUGGAAACUGAUUUGUAGCUGAUCGUUAACAAAGAAAAUUAUGCAACCAUACUUUCUGCUGUCCUAUCCAAUUUAUGGUUUUAAUCCUUAAGAUUUCCCUCAGUGCUGCCAGGGAAUUCUACUGUAUUCUCUUUUCCACCUUAAAAUGCAUGAGUGUAUUUGCACUUAGGACCCAUGCUUGGUUUCAUGCAUAGCUUUCAUAGACUUAAGGGGUGUUUUUUAACAAUUUAUUAAUAGGACUCUCACAUUUUGUGUUGCCUAUGCUAGUCAAAUCUCUGUAUUCCUCUACUGCUGCUGCUGCUAAGUCGCUCCAGUAGUGUCCGACUCUUUGCGACCCCAUAGACGGCAGCCCACCAGGCUCCCCCG
rnacentral:lncRNA from 1 species